CCGGUCCCCUCCCUCCUUCUGUCGUCAGGACCCUGCCUCGCUCCGCCUGCCUGCCUCGGGAUGCACGCGCAGGCGCGCGCGCAUGCACACACGCACGCACACGCACACACACACACACACACACACACACACACACACGGCUCCCGCUCCGGAUUCGUGGGACUGAGGUCACCUCGGGAAGACUAACUGCAAGAACCUAAGAAGCAAUCCUGCCCCGGAUGCCUGGUUCUCCACGCUCGCGCGCACACACGUUCACCCGUACACACUGGCGCACACACACGUGUAUACACGCACACGUUCACCCGUACACACUCAGGCACACAUUCACCAGUACACACACACACAUUCACCGUUACACACGCACACACCCGCGCAUACUCGCGCACAUUCACCCGUACACACGCACAGACAUGUGUACACACUCGCGCACAUUCACCUGUACACACACACACACAUUCACCCAUACACACACACAUUCACCAUUACACACUCGCGCACACACCCGCGCAUACUCGCGCACAUUCACCCGUACACACGCACAGACACGUGUACACGCGCACACACUCACCCGUACACACACAUUCACCCGUACACACUCACACACACGCAUGUGUAUACACGCAUGCAUUCACCUGUACACACACACACACAUUCACCCAUACACAUUCACACACAUUCACCGUUACACACACGCGCACACACCCGCGCAUAGUCGCGCACAUUCACCCGUACACAUGCACAGACAUGUGUACACACUCGUGCGCACAUUCACCCGUACACACUCACGCACACACACGUGUAUACACGCACACAUUCACCUGUACACAGUCGCGUACACAUGCAUACAUUCACCCAUACACACUCAGACAUUCACCUGUACACAUACACAUUCACCCGUACGUGCUCAUGCACAUACAUGCGUACACACUCACACACACAUUCACCCAUACACACACACAUUCACCCAUACACACUCUCGCGCGCACACAUGUGCACCCACAUGCACACGUACACACUCGUGCACACUCGCAUGUACAUGCAUGCACAAUACACAUGUGCAUGCACGCACGCACACAGGCUCACAGACAUGCAAGCAUGCAGACGUACAUGGGCACAUUUGUACACACAUAUGCAUGCACACAUACACAUGUGUGCACACCGGACCCAUGUGUACAC
rnacentral:lncRNA from 1 species